CAUUUAUAUGAAAACUAGAACUCUGGGACAAAAAUGGAACUCAUAUUCAAUCCUGUUAGCUCCCAUUUAUUUAGCAAAGUGAUUCUGUUAGCACCCAUUUGUUUAGCAGAGGGAUCUAACGCUGAAAACAAAUUCUGCUAGCUCUCUGGAAACAUUUAGCUCAGGAGUGGACAGUAUAAAAUACAGAGAGUUUUCAUGUAAUGAAUGUGCUGAGCUCACAAAAAGUUUAUGAUGAUAGGAACUGAGGGCCGUGGGAACCAUCGUCAGACAUUUGAGAGCCAACUCUUGAGAACGGGAUGGUGAAAUGUGAGUAGGAAUUUGACCGAGUAAGAACCAGACACAUGGGAGCCAAGGAAGUUUGUUAACCUGGAGAUUAGUAAAAUCAAAUGUGCUCAGCAAGAAAGACCUGUCAGAGAGGAGGAGGAAUUGGUAGUAGGCAAAGCAAUUGGAGACCAGUGCAAUCUGCCAGAUGCAGCCUUCCCAGCCUCAUUUGGCCCAGGGCCAGCUCUCCCUUCUCAGAGAAUAGUCACCACUAACUACAGGAAGCAUUUGCUGAGUACUUGCCAUGGAUGAAGCUCAUUCCCAGGGCUGAAGGCUGAUUUCCUGCCUUUGGCAAGGGGUCAUACACAUCCUUACUGUUAUCUAUGUAUAAAAUCUUCUAUUCCUGGAAGAGGUUUUAGAAAAUGAGCUGUAGAAUUUGGCUGGAUCCAAAUCACCCAGGAUCACCCAGCCAGUUAUCCCUGAGCAAAGUCAGGUUUCUCUAGACAGUACAAAGCUAAGUGUGGAGAGGGAGACUGACUGGAUCAGUGCAGGUAUCUAAUGGGGAAUCCUCCACAGCCAGAUCAUAUACAUGUAGCCUCCCAACUCUGCCUGGAGAAUGGGUAUUGCAGGCAAUCUUUACUGGGAAAACCUUCCCCUCUACCUGUCAAUCUACAGUUCAGAAGCGUGAACUAAAAAUGAAAUCCUAAGCCUCACAAUUGACUGAGCAGACCCCUUCUUGGCCAAGGGGACCCCAGAAAAACCUUAAAAACUGAGUUCCAGGUCAUGAUGGGAUGGGAGGUCAGAUAUGCCUUCUUAUACCCCCUCCCUUUUGCGGUUUAGACACAACGACUGACCAGCAUUAAUGUGAAAAUAGAGAGCAUAAGACUGAUGGAACGACAACAAAAAAUAAUAAUAAAUAAAUGUGUUUAAAGACUGAUGGAAUGGACUCUUUGUGGCAAUAUGAUAUCAAAUUAUAAAUAAGACCUAAGGCCAUGCUAGGCAAGAGUUAA